rnacentral:hammerhead_ribozyme from 1 species
AUGCAGAUGAUGAGUCCCAAAUAAGAUGAAACGCGUGUCCUGGAU